rnacentral:rRNA from 1 species
AUGAUCCGUCGGUAUUGGUGGGGAGCAGAGAAAGGAAAAAGCAAGACCCACUGGGUCAGUUGGGAUAGCAUGCUAUAGCCUAAAGGAAGAGGUGGUAUGGGCUUAAAGGAUCUUCAGUUGUUUAAUCAAUCUCUGUUAGCACGUCAAGCAUGGCGUCUCAUAGAAUUUCCGGAUAGCCUUUAUGCUCAGGUCCUCCAUGCGAAGUACUACCCCUCCGGCAAUAUUACAGAUACAAUUUUUAUAGGUAAUGGGUCAAGCACUUGUCUGGCUAUUGAACAUGGC